UACAGAGGCCUCGAGCGUUGUUCGGAAUUACUGGGCGUAAAGGGAAUGUAGGUGGUGACGUAAGUCUGUCGUGAAAUCCCCGGGCUUAACCUGGGAAUGACGAUGGAGACUGCGAGGCUAGAGUUUGGCAGAGGGGGGUAGAAUUCCACGUGUAGCAGUGAAAUGCGUAGAGAUGUGGAGGAACACCGAUGGCGAAGGCAGCCCCCUGGGUCAAAACUGACGCUCAUGCACGAAAGCGUGGGGAUCAAACAGG
rnacentral:rRNA from 1 species